GACAGUGCUGGGAGGAGAGCAGCCGCCCGGCCUACGGGUCCUGCCGGUUUUUUUAUGGGGCUUCCUGCUUCAGUCAAAAGAUACGGAAGAGUGCUGGAGCCGGAAAUGAGUGGAGGAUGGAGGUGCCUGGUUUAAGGUGGGAAACACUGAAGCAGGAUGAAGUUCCAGGGAUGUACAGGUUCAUGCAGCGGAGCUCAGACAUCCACGAGGCUCUGCCAUCCAGUCCCUCUUCCCCCUCCCCUGUUAUGUGGCACAGGGAGAAGGCGUGAGGAUGGCUGUGUAAGCAGCGCCUUUGCCAGGUGAAUUCCAUUGACAAGUAGGUCUAUUUGUACUGGAAGCCUGAAAACAUUCCCCCCUCCUUGUACUGAAGAUUAGAGGGACUGUCUAAGCACCAUGGUAAGUGCGAGACUGGAGUUAACAACUUGCUGGUCUUGUUACUGACAAGGAAGACCAUCAAGAAGAAGUAAAGAUGUUGAAUACUUCUUCAUAUACUUGUUGGCCAUUUGUAUGUCUUUUUUGGAGAAAUGUCUAUCAAGUCCUUAGCCCAUUUUAAAAAUCAGGUUAUUAGUUUUUUUUUCCUGCUCUUGAGUUGUAGGAGUUACAUAUUUUAGAGAUUAACCCCUCAUCAAAUAUAUGGUUCUCAAAUAUUUUCUCUCAUUCCAUAGACUGCCUUUUCACUCUGUCGAUUGUUUCCUUUAUGCAAAAAUGCUCAACGUCACUCAUCAUCAAGGAAAUACAAAUCAAAACCACAAUGAGAUAUUACCUCACACAUGUCAGGAUAGCUAUUAUUAAGAAACCAAAAGAUGUGUGCCCACCCAGGGGUGCCAAGAAAAAAAAAAAGAAAGAAAGAAACCAAAAUACAACAAGUGUUGGUGAGGGUGUGGAGAAAUUGGAACAUCUGUGCAUGGUUGGUGGGAAAGCAAGAUGGUGCAGCUGCUGUGGAAAACAGUAUGGAAGUUCCUCAAAAAAUUAAAAAUAAAACUAUGAUAAAAUCUUGUAAUCCCACCCUCUGGGUAUUUACCUGAAAGAAGUCAAGUCAGGAUCUUGAAGAGAUAUUAGUGCUCCCAUGUUCAAUACAGCACUGUCCACAAUAGCCAAAGACAUUUAGGAAAGAACUUAAAUGUCCACUGAGAGAUGACUGGAUAAAGACAAUGUAUGUAUACACACACACACACACACACACAUAUAUACACACAAAAGAAUACCAUAAAAAAAGAUGGAAUUCUGCAGUAUGCCACCUCAUGGAUGAACCUUGAAGAUAUUAUGCUGAGUGAAAUAAACCAGUCACAAAAAGACAAAUACUGCAUGAUUUCACUUAUAUGUGGUGUCUAAAACAGCCAUAUUAAUAGAAUCAGAGUGGAAUGGUGGCUGUCAGGGGUUGGGAGGUGGGGAAUGGGGGGUUAUUAAUCAAUGGACACAAAGUUUCAGUUAAGCAAGAUGAGUAAGUUCUAGAGGUCUGCUGUACAACAUUGAACCUAUAGCCAGCAAUACUGUAUUGUACAUUGGAAAAUUUGUUAAGAAGAUUAACAAUUUAAUUUGUUAAGAUCUCAUGUUAAAUGUUCUUACCAAAAAUAAAAAAUAAAAAUAAAUUAAAUAAGAGAAAAUAAAGAAGGGAUCCCAAGAGACAAACUUGGACAACUAGAGAACUGUGGAAGUUUGUAAAUGUGCAAACCAAAUCUUUUUAUGGUCUAGCAUUCGU